GUACUUGCUGGGGCAGCACAUAUACUAAAAUUGGAACAUACAGAGGUUAGCGUGGCCCCGUGCAAGCAUGACCUACAAAUUCCUGAAGAGUUCCAUAUUAUU